CUGCUGCCCUCCACUAGAGGGAGACACUGUCCAGAAGGCGGCUCACUGUGUUCAACAUCAGAAGUUCUGCUGUGUCAGACUGAAUGUUGAAGCUGGUUGUAGAGAUGGAACUUCUGCUGUGGCUGAGUUUGGCUGCUCUUGUCUUUGGAAACACCACAGCAUCAACUACUGGACCUGGACUGAACUGCAACAAUUGGACAAUAAUUGAGCUGAACCUCCAGCCCAGAAAGAUCAGAAGACAACCUGAGGUUCACCUGGUUUUUGUCACACAGUUUCCUGUUGUGUGAAAUCAACAGGCGUCAGUUUGACCUUUGGCCCUGGGAUACGAUUGAAGUCGGUGCAACGUUUUGUAACUGAGGUCCGUCCUCUGGUCCGUCCUCUGGUCCGUCCUCUGCUCCGUCCUCUGGUCCGUCCUCUGGUCCGUCCUCUGGUCCGUCCUCUGGUCCGUCCUCUGGUCCGUCCUCUGGUCCGUCCUCUGGUCCGUCCUCUG